rnacentral:misc_RNA from 1 species
CAAAAAACAGAAAAAAAAAAGAAAAAAAAAAAUAGAAAUAGGAUGAAUAGUGAGACAUGAAUACACAAUUGUUAAUUAGUAAUUACUGUAUUUCAUGAUUCAUCCUCCUUUUUUGCUUGAGUCAGCUUGGCCAGAGUUAGGGUAGUGAUAUCGUGUAUAGGUUCUUCUGGAAGUCGGUGUCAAAUGCCAAAUGCUGAAUCAGAAAAGAAGCAUUUCUAUAAGCAGUCUUUUGAUGUCAAAUUCUUCCAUUCCUUUCUUAUCCUUAUGGAUGAAUGGUUUAAGAUCAGUGCUGUUUAUUUUUUCUUUAGUAGUAUUUCAAUGUGACAAACGAUUUUAUAUGGUUUGUCAUAUUUAGAGUUUUACUCAAGUAAAUUAUGCAUCUAAUGUGUUGGAUAAAUUUUGGUGCAG